rnacentral:snoRNA from 1 species
GGCCUCCUGGUGCUGUUCUUACACUGUAGAGAGUGGAAGCGAAGUAAACCUACCCCAUAAUACACCUCAGCCCAGGCCCUGUGGCUGGUCUGUAUUGUGAAUGGGGAGACAUGG